UACGGGGGGGGCAAGCGUUGUUCGGAAUUACUGGGCGUAAAGGGUUCGUAGGUGGCCAACUAAGUCAGACGUGAAAUCCCUCAGCUUAACUGGGGAACUGCGUCUGAUACUGAUUGGCUUGAGUGCAGGAGAGGAACGCGGAAUUCCAGGUGUAGCGGUGAAAUGCGUAGAUAUCUGGAGGAACACCGGUGGCGAAGGCGGCGUUCUUGACUGCAACUGACACUGAGGAACGAAAGCCAGGGGAGCAAACGGG
rnacentral:rRNA from 1 species